AUGUUUCUCCUUCCGUGUGGACAUGAGAGGGUACUUCUGAGGUAGAGAGUCCAUAUGAGAUAUGAAAGCCACGAUGAGGAGAAAGAUGCGUCUUGUUUCUUAUGACAGAAGAUAUUAGGCUUGCUUGUAUCGAAGAUGCCGCGUUUUCUGCAGAAUGUCUUCUUGGUCUGUGUGAUUCUAACAUUUCUGGCUAUGUACUUGUUCAACUCAGCACAACGAUCACAAAACCCAAUACAAGGUGACCUGAAUAGGACUUCCAACAAAGAGUCUUCUGGUGUUAGGACCACUCGCAAGCCUAGUCAUACAACCACUCAUAAUCUGAUACUUAGGGACUUGAAUAGGACUUCCAACAAAGAAAUCAGAACUAUUAUCAAGUCUGGAGGAAAGCUAGUAUUUCCACAUUUGCCAUACAUCAGGAAUCCGUCAAAAAUAUGUGAUACAUUUAGGACGUUAAAUAGAACUAAACUUUUAGUGUUGGUCAAGUCUUCGCCGGAUAAUUUUCAUCUAAGGAAUUGGAUACGCUUUCAAAAUAAAAAAGAUAACGAGUUUAAGGAUUCUAUCAAAACCGUAUUUCUAUUAGGAGAGUCUUCGUCCAGUGAAGAGAAUAUCAAAAGAGAAAGUCAAAAGUUUGGUGAUAUUGUCCAGGGAAGCUUCAUGGAUACUUAUCGGAAUCUCACGUACAAAACCGUAAUGGGAUAUAGAUGGUUAAGUGAACACUGUUCACACGCAGAUUUUGUUCUUUAUAAGGACGACGACUUUAAGAUAAAUCGUAGAAACAUUAUGCAUAAAUUGAAAUCUCCAAAAAACCCAGACUCUUUUUUCGCUGGUUUUCUCGUUAAGAACGGGAAGGGAAUAUACCGCGAUCCAAAACAUAAAUGGUAUUUAUCAAAGAAAGACUAUCCAAAGGACACUCUUCCGCCGUAUUUUCCGGGUGGUGCGUACAUUGUAAGCACAGUCAUUGCCAAAAAGUUGGCAUCCAAUUUUCAUUUGGUGAAAUGGAUACCAAUAGACGACGUAUACAUUGGACUCGUGGCACAAACUCUAGAUAUAACUUUGACACACUCAAAAUUAUUUGGCAUGGGAGAUUGCAAACAUUACAAAAUUCAUCUAGCUUGCAGAGAGUUUACUAGGCCUGAUGAGGUCCUAGCGGCAUGGAAGACCUUAACCAUGUUCAAUCUUUAGCAAAGAAAAUCGUGACAUAAACCUGGCAGAGC
rnacentral:sRNA from 1 species